rnacentral:rRNA from 1 species
GACGAACGCUGGCGGCGUGCUUAAUACAUGCAAGUCAACUGAACUUAAGGUAGCAAUAUUUUUAAGAACGGUGGCGCACGGGUGAGUAACACGUAGGUAAUCUGCCUUUAGGUCUGAGAUAAUCCCGCGAAAGCGGGGCUAAAAUCAGAUGAUGCAGCGGCUCGACAUCGAGACAGUUGUUAAACCUUCGGGCCUGAAGAUGAGCCUGCGCCUGANAGGUAGUUGGCGGAGUAAAAGCCCACCAAGCCAUCGAUCAGUAGCUGGUCUGAGAGGAUGAUCAGCCACACUGGAACUGAGACACGGUCCAGACUCCUACGGGAGCAGCAGUAAGGAAUAUUGCUCAAUGGCCGAAGGCUGAAGCAGCAACGCCGCGUGGA